GGGGGCACGGGGGGCCUAGGGGAGGCAGCAGUGGGGAAUUUUGCGCAAUGGGGGAAACCCUGACGCAGCAACGCCGCGUGAAGGAAGAAGGCUUUCGAGUUGUAAACUUCUGUUUCGGGGGACGAUAAUGACGGUACCCCGGCAGCAAGCCCCGGCUAACUCCGUGCCAGCAGCCGCGGUAAUACGGGGGGGGCAAGCGUUGUUCGGAGUUACUGGGCGUAAAGGGCGCGUAGGCGGUCCGAGAAGUUUCGGGUGAAAGCCCCGGGCUCAACCCGGGAAGGUCCCGGAAAACCAUCGGACUAGAGUGCUGGAGAGGCAAGCGGAAUUUCUGGUGUAGCGGUGAAAUGCGUAGAUAUCAGAAGGAACACCUGAGGCGAAGGCGGCUUGCUGGACAGACACUGACGCUGAGGCGCGAAAGCUAGGGGAGCAAACGGGAUUAGAUACCCCGGUAGUCCUAGCCGUAAACGAUGGGUACUUGGUGUGGGGAACGGUAAGGUUCUCUGUGCCGGCGAUAACUCGUUAAGUACCCCGCCUGGGGAGUACGAUCGCAAGAGUGAAACUCAA
rnacentral:rRNA from 1 species